ACGAGCGCACCCUUGUCUUUAUUGCUAACGGGUAAUGCUGAGCACUUUAGAGAGACUGCCGUCGUUAAGACGGAAGAAGGUGGGGACGACGUCAAGUCAUCAUGGCCCUUAUGUCCCGGGCUGCACACGUGCUACAAUGGUCGGUACAAAGGGAUGCUAACUCGCGAGAUGGUGCGAAACCUAUAAAGCCGAUCUCAGUUCAUAUUGGAGGCUGAAACUCCCCUCCAUGAAGUUGGAAUCGCUAGUAAUCGCGGAUCAGCUACGCCGCGGUGAAUAUGUUC
rnacentral:rRNA from 1 species